UACAGAGGUGGCAAGCGUUGUUCGGAAUUACUGGGCGUAAGGGCGCGUAGGCGGCCAUCUAAGUCAGACGUGAAAUCCCCCGGCUUAACCUGGGAACUGCGUCUGAUACUGGACGGCUUGAGUAUGGGAGAGGGAUGUAGAAUUCCAGGUGUAGCGGUGAAAUGCGUAGAUAUCUGGAGGAAUACCGGUGGCGAAGGCGGCAUCCUGGACCAUUACUGACGCUGAGGCGCGAAAGCUAGGGGAGCAAACGGG
rnacentral:rRNA from 1 species